GACGAACGCUGGCGGCGUGCUUAACACAUGCAAGUCGAACGGAAAGGCCCUGCUUUUGUGGGGUGCUCGAGUGGCGAACGGGUGAGUAACACGUGAGUAACCUGCCCUUGACUUUGGGAUAACUUCAGGAAACUGGGGCUAAUACCGGAUAGGAGCUCCUGCUGCAUGGUGGGGGUGGGAAAGUUUCGGCGGUUGGGGAUGGACUCGCGGCUUAUCAGCUUGUUGGUGGGGUAGUGGCUUACCAAGGCUUUGACGGGUAGCCGGCCUGAGAGGGUGACCGGCCACAUUGGGACUGAGAUACGGACCAGACUCCUACGGGAGGCAGCAGUGGGGAAUAUUGCACAAUGGGCGGAAGCCUGAUGCAGAGACGCCGCGUGCGGGAUGACGGCCUUCGGGUUGUAAACCGCUUUCGCCUGUGACGAAGCGUGAGUGACGGUAAUGGGUAAAGAAGCACCGGCUAACUACGUG
rnacentral:rRNA from 1 species